rnacentral:tRNA from 1 species
GGAGGUAUACUCAAUGGUAGAGUGCAUGCUUAGCGUGCACAAGGUCCUGGGUUCAAUCCCCAGUACCUCUG